CCUACGGGAGGCAGCAGUGAGGAAUAUUGGUCAAUGGACGCAAGUCUGAACCAGCCAUGCCGCGUGCAGGAAGACGGCUCUAUGAGUUGUAAACUGCUUUUGUACGAGGGUAAACGCAGAUACGUGUAUCUUUCUGAAUGUAUCCUACGAAUAAGGAUCGGCUAACUCCGUGCCAGCAGCCGCGGUAAUACGGAGGAUUCAAGCGUUAUCCGGAUUUAUUGGGUUUAAAGGGUGCGUAGGCGGUCGGUUAAGUUAGGGGUGAAAUCCCGAGGCUCAACUUCGGAAUUGCCUCUGAUACUGUUCGGCUAGAGGGUAGUUGCGGUAGGCGGAAUGUGUGGUGUAGCGGUGAAAUGCUUAGAGAUCAUGCAGAACACCGAUUGCGAAGGCAGCUUACC
rnacentral:rRNA from 1 species